rnacentral:rRNA from 1 species
AUUGAACGCUGGCGGCAGGCUUAACACAUGCAAGUCGAGCGGGGUGAUGGUGCUUGCACUAUCACUUAGCGGCGGACGGGUGAGUAAUGCUUAGGAAUCUGCCUAUUAGUGGGGGACAACGUCUCGAAAGGGAUGCUAAUACCGCAUACGUCCUACGGGAGAAAGCAGGGGAUCACUUGUGACCUUGCGCUAAUAGAUGAGCCUAAGUCGGAUUAGCUAGUUGGUGGGGUAAAGGCCUACCAAGGCGACGAUCUGUAGCGGGUCUGAGAGGAUGAUCCGCCACACUGGGACUGAGACACGGCCCAGACUCCUACGGGGGGCAGCAGUGGGGAAUGUUGGACAAUGGGGGGAACCCUGAUCUAGCCAUGCCGCGUGUGUGAAGAAGGCCUUAUGGUUGUAAAGCACUUUAAGCGAGGAGGAGGCUCUUUUGGUUAAUACCCAAGAUGAGUGGACGUUACUCGCAGAAUAAGCACCGGCUAACUCUGUGCCAGCCGCCGCCGUAA